GAUGAAGAACGCAGCAAAAUGCGAUAAGUAGUGUGAAUUGCAGAAUUCAGUGAAUCAUCGAAUCUUUGAACGCACAUUGCGCCCUUUGGUAUUCCUUAGGGCAUGCCUGUUCGAGCGUCAUUUAAACCUUCAAGCUAAGCUUGGUGUUGGGUGACUGUCCGCCUCACGGCGGACUCGCCUCAAAAUUAUUGGCGGCCGGUACAUUGGCUUCGAGCGCAGCAGAAACGCGAACUCGGGCCCGUCGUAUUGGCUCCCAGAAGCUAUCUUCACAAUUUUGACCUCGGAUCAGGUAGGGAUACCCGCUGAACUUAAGCAUAUCAAUAAGCGGAGGA
rnacentral:misc_RNA from 1 species